rnacentral:rRNA from 1 species
UACGAAGGGGGGCUAGCGUUGCUCGGAAUUACUGGGCGUAAAGGGCGCGUAGGCGGUCACGCACGUCCGUUGUGAAAUCGCUCGGCUCAACUGGGCGGGGUCGGCGGAUACGGCGUGACUGGAGCAAGCUAGGGGGGCAAUGGAAUUCCCCGGUGUAGUGGUGGAAUGCGUAGAUAUCGGGAGGAACACCAGUGGCGAAGGCGACUACCUGGCCUGUUCUUGACGCUGAGGCGCGAAAGCUAGGGGAGCAAACGGG